CGAACGCUGGCGGCGUGCUUCACACAUGCAAGUCGAACGGUGAAGCGCCUUCCUUUUUGGUGGGUGUGGAUGAGUGGCGAACGGGUGAGUAACACGUGAGUAACCUGUCCCCUUCUUCUGGAUAACCGCAUGAAAGUGUGGCUAAUACGGGAUAUUCUGGGUCUGUCGCAUGAUGGGUCUGGGAAAGAUAUUGUUUCGGUGGGGGAUGGGCUCGCGGCCUAUCAGCUUGUUGGUGGGGUGAUGGCCUACCAAGGCGGUGACGGGUAGCCGGCCUGAGAGGGUGGACGGUCACACUGGGACUGAGACACGGCCCAGACUCCUACGGGAGGCAGCAGUGGGGAAUAUUGCACAAUGGGCGCAAGCCUGAUGCAGCGACGCCGCGUGAGGGAUGGAGGCCUUCGGGUUGUGAACCUCUUUCGCCAGUGAAGCAGGCCUGCCUCGUUUGUGGGUGGGUUGACGGUAGCUGGAUAAGAAGCGCCGGCUAACUACGUG
rnacentral:rRNA from 1 species